AUAUGGUUAGGUUUUUUUUAUUUCUUUAUAAGAGAUUUAACGUUUUUUUUAUCUUUUUUUUUUUUCUCUCCAACGUUCGUGUAACAGAGAACAGAAACGGUAAGUUGCACUUAACAUGUAAUUAUAUUUUGGGGGCAGGAGGGGUUACGUGUUUGUUUUUUGUUUGUUUUGUGAGUUUAACAAACAAGAUGUACAAGAUGCUUGGGAUUCAGACCAAGGUUAUAUUUUAUUGUUUUUUACACAUAUAUUGACUUAAACCCAUCCUAAAACCAGUAUAACACUAUGCCCUAAUCAACCGUAAACCCUAACAUGUUCUAUAAAUCACAUUUUGACACAGCAUCUUUGAUUGAAUUCAGAGUAUUACAUUGACCUAUUUUUAUGAACUCCAUAUCUGCCGUAUUUAUCCCAAAACAUGCUGUUUUUAACCCUGCACCCAUUGCAAUAACCCCACAGUGUGCUACAUAAUUUACUCCAAAUACAGUGGCAUUGACACUGAUCAGCCAAACAUUAAAAACACUGACAGGUGAAGUGAAUAACAUUGAUUAUAUUGCUACUAUGGCACCUGUCAAGGGGUGGAAUAUAUCAGGCAGCAAAUGCACAGUCAGUUCUUGAAUUUCAUGUGUUGGAAGCAGGGAAAAUGGGCAUGCGAAAAGAUCUGAGUGACUUUGACAAGGACCAAAUAGUGAUGGCUAGACAACUGGGUCAGAGCAUCUUCAAAACUCCAAGUCUUGUGGGGUGGUCUAAGUAUGCAGUAUUUAAAACCUACAAAAUAUUUUUGUUCACCAAAAUACAGUGAAAGUAUUUGUGGAUCUAAAAUUAGAGAUAAAAUUUGAGUCUUAAGAAACAUUCCAUGACAGCUUACUCAGUUGUCUACUUUAUGGUGCAAACAUGUACACCAUUACUGUUCCCUACACAAUAGUGCUUACAGUUGCAGUGGAUUGCAAACAUUGCUGUAGCUAUAAACCCGCGUAUUGCCCACAUACAUCUCAAAUGGAAAUUAGGCUAAACAUAUACUUGUAUAAAGCAUGUCCACAAAUAUACUUUUAACUUUUAAGAACCUGCCAAUUUAUGAUUGGUAUUUUUUUAAUUAUUUUUUAAUUGUUAUUAUUCUCUGCAUUUUAGGAAAGAACAGGAGAAGUUAAGGAAAGAAGAGGAGGAAAGAGAAAAAGAACAAUCUGAAAAGCUAAGGACACUCGGUUACGAUGAAACAAAGUUAGCACCUUGGCAGAGGCAAAUUAUUCUUAAGAAAGGGGACAUUGCUAAACACUAAUGGAAAUGCAUUUAUAACCAUUAUACUCUUAAUUUAAUGUCAAACUGUACAUCCUCACUGCCAGCUGUUCAAUAGGUGAAGAGUGGAAGCAUUUGCACAGCUGCACUUCACAAUAACUGGAUCAUUUACUUAACCCCCUGAGUGCCAGAGGGUGAGCAAUGCAUUGUCUACUGCUCUGGAGCUCACAUGGGUUAAGCAACAAUUUGGAUUUAAAGAAUUAAGUUGAGGCUACAUAAGGAAAUGGUUGAUAUGUAAUGUUGCAAUAUGUGGAAUUCAGAUGUUAGAAUUAAGACACAGGAAGUUUACAUAUAUAUUGUUCUAUAGCAAAAUUAGAAAACGUGUCUCUUUAUGUUUAUUUUUUCAUAAACUACAGCGCUAUAUUCACUAGAUAUUAUGAAAAAUGUACACCAACUGAAGGCAACUGGAGUUACGAGCUUGUUUCAUUGAACACACAACAUAGAGGGUAUUGUAAAUCACUCACUUAACCCCCUGGGUGCCAGAGGGCGAGUAACCAAUGCUUGGCAAUGCAUUGUCCACUGCUCGAAUCUUGAGGCAUCUAUUCAACAGACAACAAUGUAAAAGAUAGUGAUGAUGAAAUAAUGUCGGUUAAACUUGCACUGCUAAGAACUCUAUUUUAAAAACUGUAGAAACUGAUUGGUUGAACAGUUCUGCAUGUUAUAUUAAAUUGUGAAAAGAGUUGGCUCUCAUUCUUUGAAUACAACCACUUCAUAUUUGAAAGAAAAAUAAAAAACGCACCAAAUAUUCAUCCCAAAGAAUGCUAACGCAUUUCACAUUAUUCCACUUAGAUCAAUACCACCCUAGUCUGCCAACCACUAAACUAGUUAAUUAAAAGAUAUUGUAUCUGCAUAUUUCCUUACAAAAAUAAAGUUGCUCAGCCCAGAAGUGUUGCAUUUCUCUCCUACUAAGAAAAUAGGUUUCUGGUUUUUGGUUCUCCACUUUUAUAGUACAAGUUUUCAGUUUCUGGUGGGUAUCUCUAGAAAAGAGAAGCAUGUCUCUUUUUUUCUGAAGGUUUUUACUUUUAAUCUCAGGGAUUUCAUAAAAUCCUUGUCUGUAUUCUUCUCCUUCUCCAGAUUCAGAUUUUAGCCUUGGCAAUUCAUAUUUUGUAAUUCAUCAACUGUAAUUCACUCACAGUUAUAAAAUAUUGGAUUUAAUUAGUUAAUGAUAUAAAACACGUGUUCAUAAUCCUUUUACAAUAGAAGUAGACAGGUUAUGUCAUUGGUGUCACUCUAUAAAAAAGUGAUUUGGAAAAUUGGCACCCCUAACGCUUGUGAAUUGCAUUCCCUUGUGGGCUUGCUGAACACCAUAUAACAUACGGUUUCUAAACAUCUAUUGAGUCACGUUUAUCCAAAUCUGUCUGUGAAAAUCGAGAGCUUAAUAUUCUGUACCAACCUUGUGAUACCACUUAUUAGAAUGACACUAGAACUAGUUACUGCCAUACAUCUUCGCAAUCUCACCUGAAGAUCAAGGAGAUUGAGAAUUAAUCAGAUACAUUCGUUUUAAAGGAACACUCCAAGAACCGUUUCCACUACAGACCACUGUAGUGAUUAUGGUGCCAUGAUGGACCUUGUGCUUUCUAAGCAUCCAAACAAAGCCUGCCACCACCUUCAUGACCUAAGCCAUGCUGGGCAGUGUCAACUGGCCGCUUUCAACAAAUGAACACCACCCUGCACUGCUUACUUCACUGAGGGCUUCCAGUUGCAGAGGAGGUUGAGGCAGGCAACCGGUUGAAACCAGGUAAGUUGUUACACCAUUCUCAAAUGGUUUCACUACUUAUCUUGUGAGGCCACCAGGGCACUUCUUGCAUCAUAACCAUUGCAGUGUGCUGUGUUGGUGAUUACGUUUGGAGUCUUCGUUUAAACCCUUCACUACAAAGUUAUUUUCAAUAGAAGAUAACACAUUACAUUAAACAUAACAGUAAUUACAUUAAUAAAACUGCAGAAUAGAGAUAUAAAAAAAUUACAAAAUAUAAAUUCAUAGAAUCUCUAUAUUUUGUUUGCGGAAAUAUUGCGUGAUGGGAGGGGUUAUAAAGUAUUAGACAUUACAAAGUAUCUCUGGUCAUGGAAUUACAUAGAAUUAAAUAAUAAAAACUAUUUUAUAAUCCUGAUAUAGGUAAUGCAUAGUUAGGUUAGGAAAAGAAAGAAGUCCAUGUUCUGCCUUGAACAUGUAUGGAGCUGCUGUUGAUCCAAAAGAACGAAAAAAGUACUUGAAAGUAUUUCAAAAAUGAGAAAAUCAAAAUAUCCUACUUGACACUAGAAUUGAUCCCGGCAACAACAAGCUGUCACAGGCAUAUUCAAUUUUAUUCAUUUUAAAACAGAAAUAACUGUCAAAAUCCUGCUCGUAAAUAAUUGUAAUGAAUCUGCUGGUGUUUUUUGGAAUUUGGAUUCCUGAAAAUUACACCAAAAUCUAAAUUAAUUGUUGUAAGUGGCCAUUGUACCUAUACACACAGUAAAUACAGUUGCCUGGUUAAAACUUGACAUCGAAACUUGCAAUAUAAACAGAACACUACUUUUUCUUUCCUCAUCAACUGCUAUCAUGAGUUUUUGUAUUAAUUGAGCCUUCUAUGCUCCGGUUCAGUGAAUCUGGGAAUAGAACUAUAGACCCUUUUGCAUGAGACAUAGGUACACAUUCAGACUCAGAUGGCUGGAUUCCUUUUCUUUGGCAUUUCAAAACUAAAUGAUCGAUUCAAUUGUAAUUGUAAUGUUUUAUUGUCUUGGAAAUGUCUGAAAUAACUGCAAUGUUAAAUCUUAACAUCUUGGUAGGUGUAUCAUGAUGGUAAGGGGCAAAAAAAAUAAAUUCUGAAAUCAUCAAUUAUUAACUGUUUUUAUAUGUUAUCAAAAUCAGGAUCCAAAAAUAUAUUUUUAUUCCAAAAAGGCUGCUUUUCACAGAAAUUUGAUUUUCUAAAAGAAUUAUACAUAAAAUUGUGAAUUAUACAUAAAAUGGUGAAUUGUGGGGAAUUAUACAGUAGAAUUUAAAAAAAAAAGGCCUUAACUGUGAUAAUGAAAAGUCCAGUUUGUAACUUUUUUCAAUUACAGCUCUUUGGAUAUAAAAAAAAAUAAUUUUUGCUCGCCAAUUGACCUCACAUUCGCGAUUAGUGAAUAUACAAUUUAAAUAAAAAUAAUGCUCCUAUAUGAAAUUAUUAAUAUUCCUCUAAAGGGUUAUUUUAAGCAACAAAACCACUACAGCAUGCUGUAGUAGAUAUGGUGCCAGGAGCAUGCUGUAGUAGUUAUGGUGCCAGGAGUACUUAAGCCCCACACCCUGGUAAGAGAUCAAACUGUUUAUGAAUGGUUUGACACUAAACUGGGUCUCCUCGAUAUAGCUAAAGAGGAAGUUCUCAUUCUAUUUUAGCUACAUCAGUCCCGUCAAAUUUUUAACAGUAUCCAUAGAUCGUCAUUGUUAGCUAGAGAUGUCGCGAACCGUUCGUGAACUUCCCGCGAACGGCUCGCUGUGGUUCGCCACGAACCG